AUUUCAUGUCGCGCGCGUUGUGUUGUGAGACACAGACGCGCGGACAGAAUGCUUCGACUUUCAUGGCUUUCAGCUUCUAUUUUUUGAAAAGUAGCGCGCUCAGAUGAGACCACACAUGCACAGGCUCGUUUCCUCUUCCAUUUUUUCAGGCAAUUGUUGGAUUAUGUAGUAGACGACGAGACUGCCUUCACUGCAGGGGUCCUUACCUUGAGUUUGGUACCCUCCUGGAAAGAAAUCAUGGUUGCUAGACUACGACAGUUCAGAGCAGAGCCGCGCUAAUGAACGAGGCGAAUAGCUAACCGCUGCCGUCCGAAUCUCGUACACACUAGAGUAUUUGUGCCGGGCUAAUGGACGAGAAUUCUGGGGGGAAAGUUGCAGAGAAGGAGAAACAGUGAAACGCGCGGAUUGAAAAGCCCUGAGAAGUGUGGUUGCUCGUAUUACCGGAAGGUCAUCUAGUGCAGCACCUUCCAUUAGGUUGGCAGUGGUUCUACCUUCACUUAUCCCUGCAGCUCCAGCCAUGGACAUCUUUUUGGACGUGCAGGCCCACAUUGUCAAGCACUGGAGGCCUUUGGCACGGUCUGAUGGAAGUUUUGUCUGAGAAUCGAUCUUUGAAUCUGAGGUGUCGCUGUCGGGCGGAUGCUGUUGUGGUGUUCCCUGCCCUUUUUUGCGAUGCUGGGACUUGGACAAAAGGCUCCGAACUACGGCAUCUGAAUAUCUUUCAAAAUCAUUGGUACAUCAGCAAUAGAAGGCACACCCUUCCGAAGACCGAGAAUACAUGAGGGCAUCAGGGGGCAGACUUCUUUUCUGCCAAGAUUGUGUAUACAUGUAGUUGAACGUUACUUCGGGCUUAGGUCCAGAGGUUCUUGCAGUGAUGACCCCGGACUCAUGCAUCAUCAAUACAGCUACCCGUGGCACCGUUGAAUAGCACUAGUUGACUGAACACCAUCAUGUAUGCGUUCAGGUCUAGGCCCUACAAGUAUUUUCCAGACAAUUUAGAACACACAAUAAACAAGGCAGCCAAAAUUA